rnacentral:rRNA from 1 species
CAGGCCUUGACAUGCAGAGAACUUUCCAGAGAUGGAUUGGUGCCUUCGGGAACUCUGACACAGGUGCUGCAUGGCUGUCGUCAGCUCGUGUCGNGAGAUGUUGGGUUAAGUCCCGUAACGAGCGCAACCCUUGUCCUUAGUUACCAGCACGUUAUGGUGGGCACUCUAAGGAGACUGCCGGUGACAAACCGGAGGAAGGUGGGGAUGACUGUCAAGUCAUCAUGGCCCUUACNGCCUGGGCUACACACGUGCUACAAUGGUCGGUACAGAGGGUUGNCAAGCCGCGAGGUGGAGCUAAUUCCAUAAAACCGAUCGUNGUCCGGAUCGCANUCUGCAANCUCGACUGCGUGAAGUCGGAAUCGCUAGUAAUCGCGAAUCAGAAUGUNGCGGUGAAUACGUUCCC